CAACGCAUCCAUCUACCGCACGGUCGUUGAGUUGGAAGAAGAUGACGCCAUCAACCCAAUGGGCCCAUUCGGCGGAAAACAGAAAUGUAGGAGGGAGUUUCAGCAAGCACAGCACCUAAGAGCUUGCCAGCAAUGGCUCCACAAGAAAGGAAUGCAAGCCCGUCGUGGUCCCCGGGCCCUCGAGGAGGAGUUCGACUUCGAAGACGACAUGGUGAACUCUGAUUCCCGGAGACCGCCGCUACUCCAGCAGUGCUGCAACGAGCUUCACCAGGAAGAGCCAGACUGCGUCUGCCCAACCUUGAAACAAGCGUCCAAAGCGGUUAGACUCCAGAUCCAACAGGGACAGCCCCAAGUAGUGAGACGUAUCUACCAGACCGCUAAGCACUUGCCUAACAUUUGCCAAAUUCCGCAAGUUAGCAUUUGUCCCUUCAGGAAGACCAUGCCUUUCCAGCCUCCCACUACUAGAUUCCAAACGAAACACUCUGAAGUGUAUAUACGACGGUGAUGUUGAGUAAGUGUAACGACCCAGAUUUUUCUGGUGGGCCAGUUUGGCCUUUAUUAAAAAUUAAAGUCUAAUUCUCUCUUUUUACUUUGUUCCACAUUGGAUGUUUAGAAAACCUACCUCCCUUUCCUUCUCCUAUAUAAGAAACUCCAUCCUUUCUCUUUAUUCUCAUCAAGUCAAAUUAUUUCUUUGCGUGUGACGAGUUGUUGUUGAAUUAUUCGACGACCAGUCACUAGUGAAUUUUCCGGUGGGAUUUCCGGGUGAACUUCCGGCGAGAUUUCUGGACGAGCUUCCGGUGAGAUUUCUAGACGAGCUUCCGGUGGGUUUUCUAGUAAGUUUGUUGCCUCCUUAUUUCUAGUUAUAGGAAUAUUUUAAGAAAGUUUCUAAUUUAGGAAAUAAGUUAUAUUAGGAAAGUUUCUAUUUUAGGAAAGUUUCCAUUUUAGGAAAGUUGCUAUUUUAGGAAAGUUUCUAUUUUAGGAGAGGUUUCAUUUUAGGAAAGUUUCCAUUUUAGGAAACUUAUUUCCAGAGAAGCUGAGCUUAAGUCGUUGAUUCUCGUGUUGCAGUUGACCUCAGCUGACCGCAUCUUCCGUUGUUCAUUUCAGCCUGUGGCUAAGGUGAGGGCUAUCCCAUUAAAUCCCGAGCUAGUUUAGUACUACUAUUAUGGAAAGUUUAGUUUCGAAACAUGAUCCGUCUCUGUGAAUUGAGUCUGUUUGAGAGUCUUGUUUGUUUAUUAUUACUAUUGAUUGUUAAACCGGAAAUAGGAUAAUAGAGGAUUCAACGGUUGACUGAAUUGAAUGAAUUAAGAACUGUUAUUUAUAUAUGUAUAUACAUAAGUCUGUUAUGAGAUUGCGGGGCACAAAGAUGUUGUGCUAACGGCGCAUUGUGUGGAGAUUGCGGGACACAGAGACGUUUGUGUUAGCGGCGCAUUGUAUGGAGAUUGCGGGGCAUAUAGACGUCUAUGCUAGCGGCGCAUUGUAUGAGGGAUUGCGGGGUACAAAGACGUUUGUACUAGCGGCGCAUAGGUGAUUGCGGGGUACAAGGAUGGACUCUUGUACUAGCGGCGCAUAGAGUUAUAUAUUUAUAUCCGUAUAAGGAGAAUGCGGGGUGUGUGAUCUAGUUAUGCACUAUCAGCGCAUUUGAUGUUUUUAUGUGGUGUAUUAGACACUGUGUUUGUUUUAUGCUAGAACUAGGCCUACAUAGUCGUAGUGCUAUGUACUGAGUCAGUGGUUUGUGGUUUAGCAUCCCAUACCUCACGGAGUAACUCCCCUGUUACUCACCCCUCCUAUUCCUUUNNNNNNNNNNNNNNNNNNNNNNNNNNNNNNNNNNNNNNNNNNNNNNNNNNNNNNNNNNNNNNNNNNNNNNNNNNNNNNNNNNNNNNNNNNNNNNNNNNNNNNNNNNNNNNNNNNNNNNNNNNNNNNNNNNNNNNNNNNNNNNNNNNNNNNNNNNNNNNNNNNNNNNNNNNNNNNNNNNNNNNNNNNNNNNNNNNNNNNNNNNNNNNNNNNNNNNNNNNNNNNNNNNNNNNNNNNNNNNNNNNNNNNNNNNNNNNNNNNNNNNNNNNNNNNNNNNNNNNNNNNNNNNNNNNNNNNNNNNNNNNNNNNNNNNNNNNNNNNNNNNNNNNNNNNNNNNNNNNNNNNNNNNNNNNNNNNNNNNNNNNNNNNNNNNNNNNNNNNNNNNNNNNNNNNNNNNNNNNNNNNNNNNNNNNNNNNNNNNNNNNNNNNNNNNNNNNNNNNNNNNNNNNNNNNNNNNNNNNNNNNNNNNNNNNNNNNNNNNNNNNNNNNNNNNNNNNNNNNNNNNNNNNNNNNNNNNNNNNNNNNNNNNNNNNNNNNNNNNNNNNNNNNNNNNNNNNNNNNNNNNNNNNNNNNNNNNNNNNNNNNNNNNNNNNNNNNNNNNNNNNNNNNNNNNNNNNNNNNNNNNNNNNNNNNNNNNNNNNNNNNNNNNNNNNNNNNNNNNNNNNNNNNNNNNNNNNNNNNNNNNNNNNNNNNNNNNNNNNNNNNNNNNNNNNNNNNNNNNNNNNNNNNNNNNNNNNNNNNNNNNNNNNNNNNNNNNNNNNNNNNNNNNNNNNNNNNNNNNNNNNNNNNNNNNNNNNNNNNNNNNNNNNNNNNNNNNNNNNNNNNNNNNNNNNNNNNNNNNNNNNNNNNNNNNNNNNNNNNNNNNNNNNNNNNNNNNNNNNNNNNNNNNNNNNNNNNNNNNNNNNNNNNNNNNNNNNNNNNNNNNNNNNNNNNNNNNNNNNNNNNNNNNNNNNNNNNNNNNNNNNNNNNNNNNNNNNNNNNNNNNNNNNNNNNNNNNNNNNNNNNNNNNNNNNNNNNNNNNNNNNNNNNNNNNNNNNNAAAAAAAAAAGUUGUGCUUAAGAUCAGUAGCGGCUGAGUAUGAGAGAUUUCACCUUAUUUGAUAUGGGAGGACCACAUAGUUUGGAGUGUCUACAGCGAACAAGCGUCUUUAUAACAAAGUUAAGUCAUGCUGAAGACAUCUUAUUCCUUUUCUCGGCUCAGGAUUUGAAUUCGGGGACGAAUUCCUUCUUAGUGGGGAAGAAUUUGUAACGACCCAGAUUUUUCUGGUGGGCCAGUUUGGCCUUUAUUAAAAAUUAAAGUCUAAUUCUCUCUUUUUACUUUGUCCCACAUUGGAUGUUUAGAAAACCUACCUCCCUUCCCUUCUUCUAUAUAAGAAACUCCAUCCUUUCUCUUUAUUCUCAUCAAGUCAAAGUAUUUCUUUGCGUGUGACGAGUUGUUGUUGAAUUAUUCGACGACCAGUCACUAGUGAAUUUUCCGGUGGGAUUUCCGGGUGAGCUUCCGGCGAGAUUUCUGGACGAGCUUCCGGUGAGAUUUCUAGACGAGCUUCCGGCGGGUUUUCUAGUAAGUUUGUUGCCUCCUUAUUUCUAGUUAUAGGAAUAUUUUAAGAAAGUUUCUAAUUUAGGAAAUAAGUUAUAUUAGGAAAGUUUCUAUUUUAGGAAAGUUGCCAUUUUAGGAAAGUUGCUAUUUUAGGAAAGUUUCUAUUUUAGGAGAGGUUUCAUUUUAGGAAAGUUUCCAUUUUAGGAAACUUAUUUCCAGAGAAGCUGAGCUUAAGUCGUUGAUUCUCGUGUUGCAGUUGACCUCAGCUGACCGCAUCUUUCGUUGUUCAUUUCAGCCUGUGGCUAAGGUGAGGGCUAUCCCAUUAAAUCCCGAGCUAGUUUAGUACUACUAUUAUGGAAAGUUUAGUUUCGAAACAUGAUCCGUCUCUGUGAAUUGAGUCUGUUUGAGAGUCUUGUUUGUUUAUUAUUACUAUUGAUUGUUAAACCGGAAAUAGGAUAAUAGAGGAUUCAACGGUUGACUGAAUUGAAUGAAUUAAGAACUGUUAUUUAUAUAUGUAUAUACAUAAGUCUGUUAUGAGAUUGCGGGGCACAAAGAUGUUGUGCUAACGGCGCAUUGUGUGGAGAUUGCGGGACACAGAGACGUUUGUGUUAGCGGCGCAUUGUAUGGAGAUUGCGGGGCAUAUAGACGUCUAUGCUAGCGGCGCAUUGUAUGAGGGAUUGCGGGGUACAAAGACGUUUGUACUAGCGGCGCAUAGGUGAUUGCGGGGUACAAGGAUGGACUCUUGUACUAGCGGCGCAUAGAGUUAUAUAUUUAUAUCCGUAUAAGGAGAAUGCAGGGUGUGUGAUCUAGUUAUGCACUAUCAGCGCAUUUGAUGUUUUAUGUGGUGUAUUAGACACUGUGUUUGUUUCAUGCUAGAGCUAGGCCUACAUAGUCGUAGUGCUAUGUACUGAGUCAGUGGUUUGUGGUUUAGCAUCCCAUACCUCACGGAGUAACUCCCCUGUUACUCACCCCUCUUUCUUCCCCCUUUCAGGUGAGACCGACGAGCAGGAGUGAUUACUAUCGGAUUGGUGCUUUGGGAGUUUUAUCUCUUUAAGUUUCAGACUUGCGGUUUUUAUGAUUUUAUCGAUAUUUUCAGGUUUUAUUAUAUUAUCUGGAUUUACGACUUUGGAGUUGACUUUAGAGAAGUAAUAAAUGGAGAUUUCGGACUUUAUAUUUAUUUAUUUUAUUUUGGAAAAUACGGGUGUUACAGUAAGGUUGUUGAUGUAUGUUAACACUAGUCACUAGGCAGUCACCGUGUUUAUGCUAUAAUAAAAAUGUACUUUAAUAAGAUGUUUGAGGCUAUUGUAAUUAGACCUUAAUAAAAGAGAAGUUAGUCUUGUUUUUUUUACCAUUGCGGCUUUCUAAGAAGUGUGAAUGACGGAUAAGCAAGAAAAAAUAAUUAAGCUAUUCACAAUUAAACAGUAGUCUAUAAUGAACGUGAUAAACUAGUACUCAGAGAUAUAAUAUUUUGUCUAAUUAAGACUUCAAGAUCGAUAAAUAAAACCAUUUGAUUUCUAGCCAUCUGUCAUUCUGAGGCCAUCUCCACCGUGUAUUUUUUUCUUAAGUAAUUGGUUCAACGUACUUAAGCAUGCCGCCGCUGACUGCUAAUUACUGAUGCUGCCUUUCUUAUAAAUACAAGAACUGUUCUAUUUUUUUACUUUUUGAACGUUAAACUAUAUAUGCAAAAGAAAUGUUCUGACUUAGAGCAUGAUUAAUCCGUGUUCUUAAUUUGAAGUUCUUAAUACAUGAUUUGACAUUUUUUUACAAUUUUCAACUAAGAGUCGUCUCUUAAACAAUCUCCAAUGGUUAGAACCCAUCAUGAAUUCUAAUGUUUAAUUUAAUUAUAAAUUUUGUAAUUUGUGAAGUUUAGAACCUCUUGUAAUUUGUUAUGUUCAAUAGUAAAACCCUUUUAAAGUUCUUAAGAGAGAAAGAGACAACAACAAAAAAAAAAGCAAGGGAGAGAGAAAAAGACACAAACACAAAAGGAGUUAAUAAAAAAAUGAUACCUUAGAGGUUCUUGGAGGAAGUACUAAAGUAAUUAAGGGAAAAAAAUAAAUCAUAAAUGGUUAUAUUAGGCAGGAGCGCUCCUUGAUUAGGUGAUUUAAGGAAUGGUAAAGAUCCCAGACGUGGCAGGAGGGGAUUGGCUGGGUCAUUUUAGACGAAAGGUCUUGUGGUCGGUUGGUCUUUUUUUUUUUCAUCUUCAAUGUCAUCGAAAUCUCUUCCUCCUCUCUCUGUCGAAAUCUCCUUGAUGAUGUUUGAUCCGUUUGUUCGCCGGUGAUUAUGUCUUCCUUCCAUCAUCGGGUCUGCCUUCCUCGUCGAUUCUUUCGAAAUCUCCAACGGAGAAAACAUUUGAUUCGUUUCACCCACUUCGUCGAUGUUCUCCUCCAGACUCAUCCAUGCAAUCAGCACAAAGGUUCGGUUUCUUUUUUAUUUUUGUUUCUGUGAAUUGAAUCCCUUUGUCGAUUAUUAUCCAAAAUUUUGUUUGGAUUAUGAGAUUUGACUCUGUUUAUCUCAGAUCGAUGGGGGAAGUGGUGGUUUGAAGUCGCGAGGGACGGACUAUGAUGAUGAACAGAGUAUCUUCCGACAAUUGUGGUUACAGUUUUGGUGGUCGAAUCCGACAAAGGUCAUUCCUUUACUUUGUUUGAUUUGAUGAUUUAAAGUUUUCCUUCUUUGUCUUGAGUUAGAAGUUUGAGUAGACUUUGGUUUUGAUAUUGAUUAAAUCUGAUUAAAGCAGUAGCAGCAGCAGCUCAGAUGAUGAAUCCAGUGAAGUUAAGAAGAAGGAGAGUGGUGAAUCUGUUUCUGAAGUUGUUACUGUGAGUUCUGUGCCUACUCAACCUAUUCCAAUAGCUGGAGAUGCUCCUUUUAUGGAGUCUACUGCUAAUGUGAUUGUAGAGAGUAUCAGUUUGAUGGAUUCAACUACUCCUACUGAUCCAAAAACUGAGCUAAUGAUUGAAAUCACACCUGUUGAGGCAAUGAUCUCAACCGAGAAUGACGAGAGUUCUUUGCCUAAACCAAACGAGAUUAAGCAGGCGUCUUCAAGUGCAACCGACUCUGAUGUGAAAGAAAACGAGAGAAAAACUUGGACUCUUCCAGAAUCCAACAGUGUUCCUGAAGGCAACAGUGUUCAUGAGGAAGAGGUGAUCCUCAGUGUUGAACUAUUUAAUUUUGUUUAUAUUCUUCGUCACUUUGUUACCAAAUUAGACUAAACUCAAUAUUCUCUCAGGCUCCAUGCGGCCAACACAUGGAGUUUUGCAGAGAACGUCAUGGUUAAGUUGUUGUGGCUUGUUUGAUGUGGUCACAUGAUCCAGUAGAUAAACUCAGGUAUCUUCUGAAUAUAUUGUUGUUAGAAUAAACUCUCUGUUAUUAACGAACUUCAUUAGUCUACGUAUGAUUCUUAGUUUAUGGAUAAGAAAAUAACCUUUUACAUCGAACAAUUGUGUAUAUUAGUCUGUAGCUUUAUAUACAUCAAUACCAUUGUCAAAAACAUAACCAUCAUUAGUUACGCAUUCGACUUGUUGAUGAGUUUCUUGACACUCUUGUUUCAAUCGCAGAAACAGAGUUUUUCCUUCAUGAAUUCAGAAGUGUUAUCACAGCUAAGGAUUCUCGGUGUUACCUGUGAAAACUCAGUAAGUUGAUGAGUGUCUCUCUCUCUCUUUCUCUUCCAUUGAAGAACACAAAACACACAUUGUUUCAUAUGCGAGAGUUCUCAGCUUCUAGUAGUCUUCAAAGCAAGCUUGUCUAUAGUUUUUGCUCUUUAUAUUAGCCCCUUACGUGUUCUCUUCCCUUUCUCUCUGUACGAUUCCUUUGUCUGUUGUUGUUUUUGUUCAUAUGCAAAAAAUUUAUGUAUGCUUUUAUUUUAAAUCAUUCUACUUAAAAAAAAAAAUUUAAGAACCCUAUAGGAGUUUUUCCAUUGGAGGAGAAGGAGAAAAUUAUCUCCACUAACUAAUGUCCUAAACUUGCCAAAUCACAUUAUAUAUUCUUAAUUUAAUCAUUAGGACCUCUAAUGGGUCCUAAUGGAUGGAGAUGGUCUUACCAAUUCUAAAAUCUCUAUUUUAAGAACAUGGUUCUUAGUUUUUGUUUCUUUUGAUUUAUUUUUUUGGCUUUUUUUAAAAAGAAAUUCUCCUUAAAAACUUUCAUUGGAAGUGUUCUUAUAUUUUUUAUUUAAGAGAUGUUUCUUAACUUUUAUUAGUUAAAAGCUAAGAAAUUUCGGCUAAGAACCCUACCCUAAGAACCCGGAUUAAUCAUGACAUUAGAGCAUCUCCAACCAUUAGAAACUAGGUGAGAUUCAAAAAAAAUUAAAAAAAAAAUAUUUUAAUUGAAUAACUAAAUUUUCUAUUUUUUUUAAUUCUAAAAUGCUAGUUAGAAAACAUGUGGAAGUUAAAAGUUUAGAAGUGCUUCCAAGAGGACCUCCAACCAUUAGAAACUAGGUGGAAUUCUAAAAUAUAUUUAAUUAAAUUUUCUUUUUUUUUUAAUUCUAAAAUGCUUGUUAAAAGACACGUGGAAGUUUAAAGUUUAGAAGUGAUUCUAAAAACACUUGUUUUAGAACCUUUCUUCACUCUCUCUCCUAUUUUAUUUUUUUAUUUUUUAUUUUUAAUGAUAAGAUUCUAAUUAAAGAAUCUCCAAUAGAGGUGGUCUAAGAGCAUCCUUAUCGCACGUCUUUAGUGUGGGUUUUUAGGAAAAAGUGGGUGUGGGUGCAAUGAAACCAGAGAAAACGUCUCCAGAAAUCGCGAAAUAGGAGAUGUUUGUAGAACUGUUCGCGGGGCCCACUGACACAUGGUGGUCUGCGAUUGGUUUGAUUUAAAUUUUUUUUUAAAUCAGAAAAACAAAAUAAAAUAAAAUAAACAAAAUAAGAAACGUAUAUGCGAUAAAAGUGCUCUAAAAACCCUUUUUUAGAAUCUUUUUUCCCUCUCUCCUAUUUUUUUUUUUUUUUUUUAAUAGUGGGACUCUAACUAAAGAACCUCCAUUGAAGUUGGUCUUAUAAGUUAUAAGAGCAGCUGCAACGCUGGUCCUUACAAAAAAAUCCUUAGCAACAAAUUAUUUUUAUAAUAUGUGGGGACCAAACAAAUUAGGAAUCUGUGCCAUAAUUGUGUCUUGGAGUCCGUAGGUAAGGAUCAUUUCUUUGCUGGGCUUGUAACUGUGUGCGGGUCCCAUGGCCGGGUGGAAACCUGCGAUUGGUCUUUUUUUUUUUUUUUUUUUAACUGAAAAAAAAAUAAAAUAAUAUAAAAGAUUUACCUAGGUUACGGAGCCAUGAGUAACACGGUUGUGGAUGCCCUAAGGUAUAACUGGAUGAAUCAAAAAGUUGAAAGAAGUGAAGAACCUAUGACCAGAAAGAGAAACAAAAAAAAACAGUAGAUCAGAUGUCUCAUCUUCGGCUACUGAACCAGACACUGUUACUUUGGGGUUGAUUGGUAAGUGCUGUGAUUUCAUUUUUUGACUGUAGAAAUAUUGCUGUGGUUUUUAUUGCUUUGGCUUUAGAUUUUUAAUUUUUAAAAGUCUUUAAAUUUGGGCUGUAGGUUUUUGUCUCUGCAGAGAAAUUGUAAAGACAAAAAUUCAAAGAAGUGCUGUGGAUUUUAUAAAAUGGCUGUGAACUUUAAAAAAAAUAGAAAUCAAGAUUGGUGUAGAUUUAGUGCUCUAGAAAGAAAUGAGGCUGUAGAGAGAACUCACAGCCACUACCAAUCACACCCUUUAGUUAGGAUACCAUCAGCUGGUCUCAUAUAUUAUAAUCAGGCCCCUUUGUAAAACUCCCAUCAUUAAUUUAUAUUAAGUGACUGUAAAAAUGGUGAUUCAAAUAUUUAACAUUAACUUGAAUAAUUGACAUUGAUAUGUCAAUAUAUCUCAAUUGUAAAAUAAUAUAUGAAUAAUGUAAGUAUUUCUUAUUGCUAUACCAUAAAUAUGAUGUUAAUUGCCGGACAUGUCGGAAUAUGAGCUACAAGUCACACAUAGCAUGCAGACGCGGAAGAAUGCUGGUGUUGUGUUGUUUUUUUGGGGUCUAAAUGUUAAAAACUGCAGGUGUUGUUGAUCACUUGUCACUCACUUCAAACACCUAAGGCUUUCUCUCUCUCACACACACACAAACAAAUGAUUUGCCGUAAUUAAGAUCUAAUAUAUAGUUCGGUUGGCUCCUGAUAGUUUUUUAUUCUCAAAAUGAUUAAUCAAAAUGUAAUGAUUUGUCAAUAUAUAUGUAGUUACAAAUUAUAUAUAUAUAUAUAUAUAUAGAGAGAGAACCAUCUGAUGAUAUAUAGGAAAACACAAUUUCAUGUCAAACUUUAAAUAAAAUAGAUGUUUUAAUAAGGCAAAGCCUGAAUUAACUUUAAACAACCAAACUCCUAUAAAACUAACAUAUCCAAUUCUAUAAUGAGUGUACUCAGAUAUGGUCGGUGUCAGUAAUGAAAAAGAGGAACAUGAUGAAAUAUAAUAUCAUUACGAGGGGAAUGUUAUAUGAUUCUUAAUUCUACUAUUCUAUUGAAUUUUUAUAAUGAUGAUCAUUCUUAUACCGUUUUCACCAAAGCUUUAAUCUCCAGUAUUAAUAUCCAACACAACAUCAACUUGCAGGUGUUAUUCAUCACUUGUCAUUCCUCUACAUUCGAGUUUCCAACACCUAAUCCCGCCAACAACCUUGUACUCUCUCAAAUACAUGCAUGCAAUGUUACACGUGAUCUCCAUGCAUAACACCUCCCUUGUCCAUAAAUACCACACCCAUCCCUUCGCUUCAUAUUUAUUCACUCAAACCAAAACACAAGAAAACACACAUAAAUAGCAAAUGGCUAACAAGAUCUUCCUCGUGUGCGCAACUCUUGCCUUCUGCGUCCUCCUCACCAACGCUUCCAUCUACCGCACCGUAGUCGAAUUCGACGAAGAUGACACUACUGACCAAAUAGGCCCAUUCCGCCCACCACAGAAAUGCCAGAGGGAGUUUCAGCAAGAGCAACACCUAAGAGCUUGCCAGCAAUGGAUCCGCCAGCAACUUGCGGGAUCACCCUUCAGCGAAAACCAAUGGGGUCCUCAGCAGGGGCCGUCGCUACGCGAGCAAUGCUGCAACGAGCUUUACCAGGAAGACCAAGAGUGCGUUUGCCCUACUUUGAAACAAGCAGCCAAGUCAGUUAGGGUCCAGGGACAGCACGGACCAUUCCAGUCCACCCGCAUCUACCAGAUCGCUAAGAACUUGCCUAACGUUUGCAACAUGAAACAAAUUGGAACAUGUCCCUUCAUUGCCAUCCCUUUCUUUCCUCCUUACUAAAUCCUAGUGUUAUCACACGAUGAUCAUCAUUAAUGUGGGUUGUUGAUGUAUGUUUAACAACACACAGUCAUCGUGUGUUUUUACCAAAAAAAAUAAAAGUGUAAUAGUAGCUUGAGAGACUAAUGUAAUAAGCACUACUCGGUAAUAAAAGAGAAGUUUUACUUUUUGUUCAAGUGUAUCAGCAUAUGGUUUCGUAGCUAGUCUUGCACCAAAAAUAGUUACGAAACCAUUAAUAAUUAUCUUAUGGUUAGUAUACUUAACAAAGAUGAUAGUUUUAUCGAUCUAAUGCUGAUCUAUUGAAGAUUUCAGAACACUAAACAAGUUCUUUUCAACUCAAUUAUUCAUCCUGAUACAAGAUGAAAGUAGAUAAAAUAGACCCUUUAGGUUAAUACAAGCUAUAUACAAAUUUAGAAACAACACUUAGUUACAAACAUAAUCCAACGGCCUAUUGUUAACUUGACGUACGUGUGCCGUUCCAAUCUCACAAGGAUUCACUCUUGCUACGUAUCCGAGGGAGCACAGAGACUCACCAGUUGAGGAAGGUUCAGUUGUGAUGUUAACAAACAGUCGCCACUUAAGCAGGGCUCUAAUAACAGAGUUCGACCAAGUUUCAUUUCUACAUAAUAAUUCAAAAGGUUAUUUUUUUAACAGUUUUACCGUUUUCUUUUGGUUCAAAUACAAAGUUUUCUUCUUUACGAUUCUGUCUCAGAUACCCACAAUGUGCCCCUGAGCCGAGGUGGGCUCUUUCAUCCGUUGCGUAUCGAAAUCAGCUCCAAAAGUUCAAUCAGAAUCGUCAAGUUUAUGGCUUAAGCUUCAAUUUUGGUCGAAUUUUGAAGGGUCUUGUAAAAAUGCUGUGAUCUUUCCGCAAUUGUGAAACCGCUUUAGCCUCUGUUUAAGCCAUCACUUAGGGUGUUUUUUUCUUGAAGCAAGACGCAUUUUGGAAGGAUGGAAAUGGGUAAUCAAUCGAGGAGUCUCUUAGCUCUGUGGGUGAAUUUGCUUUCAAUGUUGUUAGUAAUAAUAACAUUGAAGGAGAGGAGAGCGGACUUUCUCUUUACCACACAGUUUAUGGCCCCAGAGCUACAGGCAACGUUCAAUGAGCAAAUGGGUAUGCUUAUUUCUGGGUUUGGAAUGCAAUCAUAAAGCUAUUUGCUUUGGUCUAUACUUUAUGUGGUCCGAGAUGUAUUGAUUCUUAUUUCAUCUCGAGCUUGUCACGUUCCUUGUUUUGUUCUGUUCUGUUUUGAUGUUAGGUAGAGGCAAUACUUAUCUAUUACUGGGGAUUUAGGGACUAUCUAACAUCAUCUGUCGGUUCUAAGCUUGAAUAUUGGUUCUUUGCAGAUUUAUAGGAGAGCUUAAUCAGUUUCUAAGACAAUCCCUUGUUGAUAUUUGCCUCUAACAACUCUUAGAAUGCGUGCACGCUCACUUGUAAGUAGUUCAUUUCUUGUCUUUUUCUUAGUAUGUGGGAUUGGUGUCAAAGAUGACUUUUGAAAUACGUCUGAACCACGUUUAAAGCAUAGAGUUAACCAAAUUAUAGUUAUUAUUUCUGAAAAGUGACAGCCAAAUUAUAAAGUUUCGAUGAACCUACCCGAAGUCUUGCUAGAAGUUUUAAAAUAAAACGGGGAAGAGUCUUCAAGUAAAGUUGUUGGAAACUUGAAAUGUCAACUCUUUGAUGACCAAAUCAAGGCAUCAACAUCAAAGUCUAGUUAUUUAUUUGUGAAGACCAUAUAAAGUCAGCAUACAAUUUGUGACCCUUUCUAUUUAAGAAGUCGUUGGUGCCUCAUAGUGGUUUAUCUUGAGGGUAUUUGAUCAGUGGUUCCUCACAUUUUCUUACUAUCAUUCCUUCUUAUUUUUUUAAAUCUCUCUGUGAAACUCUUUGUCAUGGAUUGUCUGGGCUCAGCUUUGGGUUCUUUCUUGGCAGAGGCAGGGCGUGGUAUAUGCAGAUCAACCUAUACUCGAGCCAUUUAUACCAUCCGGUUCAAGUCAAACAUCAAAGCUUUAAAUAAGGCGCUCAAUGGCCUGGUUGAUGUUCAAAACAAAGUGGAAAAAGACCUCAAAACCUUGGAGAUCAAAGGGAAGUCCUUGAAUGUGCAACUGAGGAGAUGGCUCAGAGAAGUGGAAGAGAUAGGCUCCGAAGCAAAUUCAAUUCAAGAAGGGCGUGCUUCAUGUGCUCUGUCCUUGAGAUGUAAGAUGAGUAAAAAACUUAUGGGAGUUCUUGAUAAAGUCAAGAAGCUUCAGACGCAAGGCUUAGAUCUUCUCGACAUAUUUUCUUUGGAAGGAAGAUCUGUACUAGUUGAGAGAAUCCUUGGACCCUCGAUCACUGAUCAAACAAUAGCAUCAGAGAUGUUAGUCAAAGUUCUAAGCUGUUUGAUGAGCGAUGAUGUUCAAAAGGUCGGUAUUUGGGGAAUAGGAGGUGUUGGUAAAACUACUUUAGUCCGAGAACUGAACAAUAAGCUAUGGAAAGAAGCUGAUACACAGCCUUUUGGUAUGGUGAUAUGGGUUACAGUCUCCAAAGAGUUUGAUUCGGGAAGGGUCCAGAAGCAAAUCGCUGAGAGAUUGGAUAUGGAAAUCAGAUUAGGCGAAAGCGAGGAAAGACUGGCCAGACGGAUAUAUGGAAAGCUUGAGAAAGUAAGUAGCUUUCUUCUCAUUCUUGAUGAUGUUUGGAAAUCCAUUGAUUUAGACAAGUUGGGGAUUCCACAAACAGAUGGACACAAGGAUAGAAAGAUUGUCUUGACUUCUAGAUAUUUAGAGGUUUGCCAGAGCAUUAAAACGGAUAUUGACUUCAGAGUGAAUUACUUAUGUGAAGAAGAAGCUUGGGAAAUGUUUUGUAAAAAUGCUGGAGAAGUUACUAGAUUAGAUCGUGUUAGACCCAUAGCAAAAGAGGUUUCUCGGGAAUGUGGUGGAUUGCCGUUGGCUAUCGUCACGGUUGGAAUGGCUAUGCGAGGGAAAAAGAAGGUCAACCUGUGGAAACAUGCCCUUGAAGAACUCAAGUGUUCGGUGCCUUAUGUCAAGAGUAUUGAAGAAAAGGUCUACCAGCCGUUGAAAUGGAGCUACAACUUGCUCGAGCCAAAGAUGAAAUCUUGCUUCCUCUUCUGUGCCUUAUUUCCAGAGGAUUACUCAAUCGAAGUAUCUGAGCUUGUGAGGUACUGGAUUGCCGAAGGGUUCAUUGAUGAAACACAAAACUAUAGCUACUUAAUGAAUCAAGGAAUCACCUUGGUGGAGAAUCUUAAAGACUCUUGCUUACUUGAAGAGGGUUCUCACGGUGACACAGUUAAGAUGCAUGAUGUGGUUCGCGAUUUUGCCAUAUGGGUCAUGUCUUCCUCGCAAGAUGAUAGUCACUCUCUUGUCAUGUCCGGUAUAGGUUUGUGCGAGUUUCCACAUGAGAAGUUCGUUCCUUCUAUCCGAAGAGUUUCUUUGAUGAACAAUAAGCUUAAAAGGCUCUCAAAUCAAGUGGUAGAGUGUGUUGAACUCUCAACUUUGCUGCUACAAGGAAACUUUCACUUGAAGGAAUUGCCUGAGGGGUUCUUGAUAUCUUUUCCAGCACUUCGAAUUUUGAAUCUAAGUGGGACAUGCAUAAGGUCGUUGCCCAACUCCCUCAACAAGCUUCAUGAGCUAAGAUCUCUCAUCUUGAGAGACUGCUACUACCUUGAAGAAGUUCCUUCCCUUGAAGGCCUUGCAAAAAUUCAAAUUCUGGAUCUUUGCGCCACUCGAAUAAGGGAAACUCCAAGAGGGUUGGAAACUUUGAACAGCUUGAGACUACUUGACCUCUCCCGAACGCAUCACCUCGAAAGCAUUCCAGCAGAAAUCAUCCCGAAGUUAUCAAAUUUAGAGGUUCUAGACAUGACCCUUAGUCAUUUCCACUGGGGCGUCCAAGGACAAACUCAAGAGGGGCAAGCAACACUUGAAGAGAUUGCGCGCCUCCAACGUUUGUCGGUCCUCUCAAUCAGAGUCGUAUGUGUUCCACCUCUCUCCCCUGAUUACAAUUCCUGGAUAGAAAGGUUAAAGAAAUUCCAGUUGUUUAUCGGUCCAACAGCAAACUCUUUACCUUCUAGACAUGACAAGCGGAGAGUGACUAUUAGUAGUCUCAAUGUUUCAGAAGCAUUCAUUGGAUGGUUGCUAGAGAAUACAACUUCUCUAGUGAUGAACCAUUGUUGGGGUCUCAAUGAGAUGCUGGAGAACUUGGUAAUCGAUAGCACGAGUAGCUUCAACCUGUUAAGAUCUCUAACGGUAGAGGGUUUUGGUGGAAGUAUAAGACCCGCUGGUGGAUGUGUCGCACAGCUGGAUCUUCUACCUAACCUUGAAGAACUUCAUCUGCGUCGUGUACUGGGAACCAUUAGAGAGCUCGUUGGUCAUCUGGGGUUGAGAUUUGAGACACUGAAACAUCUAGAAAUCAGCAGGUGUAGCCAGCUCAAAUGCCUUCUUUCAUUUGGGAACUUCAUCUGUUUCCUGCCGAACCUACAAGAGAUACACGUUAGUUUCUGUGAAAGGCUUCAGGAGCUGUUUGACUAUUUUCCAGGAGAAGUUCCAACCUCUGCUUCUGUGGUACCUGCUCUGCGUGUCAUAAAGCUAAGGAAUCUUCCGCGGUUGAGGAGAUUAUGUAGCCAAGAAGAGUCAUGGGGAUGUCUGGAACAUGUGGAAGUGAUAAGUUGCAAUCUUCUGAGGAAUCUACCCAUAAGUGCAAAUGACGCUCUUGGAGUCAAAGAAGUAAGAGGAGAAACACACUGGUGGAACAACUUAACUUGGGAUGAUAACACUACAAGAGAAACUCUUCAGCCACGUUUCAUAGCAGCGGACGGGAAUAUACCUACUGGCUCUCUUGGAAUGUCUUGCUAUCAGAGCUCCAACACAAUUGAAGAAGCUUUUCCAAUUUCUAGCUUACCAGAAUCUCAGGCUGAAGAGCUUCUGUAGCUACAAUGUAAUCAUGGACUUACAGAGGUGUGGAUAAUACUUGGCCCACUUGCAAAUAUCUUGUCACCGGGGCUCCAGCUCAAUCUAAUAGAGAGAGAAGAGGUUUCUCCACUUUAGAUAGAAGACCUAACGUCUGAGGAGCUUAUGAAGGGACACUGUAAUCCUCGAGUUGCAGAAAGUUUCAGGUUCAACAGGUGACCCUCACUUUGUCAAAAAGUUGUCAGGUUUGAGCAGUGAACCAUGUUAGCCACUGUAGUUUAACCUGCUCGCAUUUGCUAGGAGGCCUCAAAAGUGUCUGGUCUUCACAAAGGAGAAUAUUUAAGAUGUAGUAGUCCGUUUUCUUACACUUUCAUAAAUUUCCUUUGUCAAAAAGAUGCAGAAGGUUAUGGUAAACGUGGGUUUGCUGCUCUGGUCGACAUACUUUGCCGAAAAUCAAGAGCCACGAGAAGUCUCAAAGGCUUGAGUCAAGAGCUUUCUUGUGCCAGGGACAGGUCAGUAUUAAGCAACGUGCAGACCCAACAUUACGGUCCAGUUGGUGGAUUUAAUCAUCAUUUAUGCAGCUAUAUCGAGGUGGCAACUAACAAAGAUGUAAAUAUAUGUGUAACGGUUUUAUAAUUAGUGACAGGUUUGAAGGUGUUCUACCUCAAGAAUUCUUGGAUAAUUGUUUCUCUUGUCUUGUGUGUAUUUGAUUGUUUAUCACUCGAUUCCGUGCAAUGAAAGUAAACGUGAAAUUUUAUUUUCUGUAUAAGUUCUAUGAAAGUAUGUUUGUUACUGUAAACGUCAAAAGAAUGUCCAUUUUUUUGCAAAUAAAACGAAGAAACCUUGUCUUUUUCAUUAACCAAAAUAAUCUUGUAUACAGUAGUUGGGUCAGACUUCAUAGUUCAUCAGAUUUAAUAGUUUUUAGCUAUCAUAUACAUGUUUACUAAAAAAUACAUCAUGAGUUCAACAGAUAUUGGAGAACUAUGCCACAAAGAGGUAAAGAGUGCAAAGAUAUGUAGCUGUUGAACUUGAUAAACUAACCAAAAGUGGGCAACUACCAUAAAAUGUCAACUUAAUAAGUGUUACCUAUCAUGUAACCUUCUAAACAUGUCAUAACAUCAGUUAAAUCCGGUAAUGUACACGCUUGAGAUGUAAGCAACAAACUUCUUUUUUUUUUUUGGUAAAAUUGUAGAUAACAAACUUGUUAAUCUAGUAGCCACUCAUAUGGUAGAAUCAUGUAUUGUUGUACCCUCCUGUGAUAAUUUUACAUGCUUUACCCCAUGGAGGUUUGACGGGAUCUAAAGUGUGGCAGGAACAAUAUGGUAAAAGAAAUGAAUGAGGAAGGUUUCUAUUGCAGCUAAUAUGAACUUCCAUUAGUUCAUUGGCUCGCUUUGGCAGUAUGCAAUACAGCCUUCUAAAAUAAACAACAUGUUGGAACUACAAAAAGCUUUAUUUUUGACUUUUUGUUCAUCUCAAUACUUGAGCUUGUGGUCCAAGGUAGGAAACCUAAAACUGAUCGAAGCAUCAAUGGUUUGACGAAUAAUUUCAUCAAUACUAUAUUUGUACUCAAACCCCAAAUCUUUUAACUUCUUUGAAGAAAUCAUAGGCUUCAUCAAACUUUGUCUCUCUUCCAAAUCAUCAUCUAGCCUAUAAAUCAUAAAUAAUAAUUUUGUGAGAAGUUUUAUUCUAAACCAAAAGAACAGAGUCGAUAAAAGCAUUUGAAGAAUGCAAAAUUUAAAAAACUUACUUAUGAACUUUACAAAGAUAUUCCUUAGAGAAGUGAUUAAGCAUCAACUCAUGCAUAUCAAUGUUGUCAACACAACAUAUGUAUUGACCUUCAGCUUUUGGUUCUUCCAUCAGAAACAAAUGCGCCAUGCAAAUAUCUUCAAUGUGUACCAAACCAAUCGAACCCAUUCUUUUGUUCACUGCUGAUAGUAUCCCAAACAACUUGGACUCCCCUACAAAAAGUAAAUGGUUGAUACAAAAUCUCCAACAUUUUAACUUAUAUUUGAUAACACAAAAAUAUUAUAUACACACACAUACACACCUGUUAUUGGAGACAAGAGAACUUGAAGGCUUGAUGGGAGAGAAGGUGUACAAAAUGGACCCGAGACAGUAGUUGUAAUAACUGAAACAAGAUCCAUUCCACUCUCUUUUGCAUAUCUAAAUGCUUCUUCCUCUGAUACUAGUUUCGAUAGUACAUAAACCUAGUCGUCCACACGAAGUCUAAAGUUAUUUAAUAAGUGCCUAAAUGAACUGUUAUACUAUUGUAAUGCUAGCAUUUACCCAUCCACUUGCUUUUGUUUUAAGUACAUGAUCAAUGGGAGUCUUGCAAGUCUCAUCUACGAUUGAUCUCCACCGUUCAUUCUCAUCUUUGGCUGUGAGGGUACUGAUGGAUGACGUGAAGACAACUCUCUUUACUGAGUUUGACUUUAGACAAGAACCUAGUACGUUCCGUACGCCUUUUAUCGCCGGGUCAAUGACUUUGCUCUGGACAUAACUCUCUGAGAUUCAAAACCCGGUUCGUUUAGGUUAACCUACGUGUUAUUUGAUCUUGACUUGAGACUUUUGCAUCAUUUACUACAUUUUACAUUGACGUACGUUUCACCAAAUCAUGGUCAAGGCUUCAGGGGAUUAGUCAUAUUCAUAUAUAACAUUUUAGUAUUAGUACUUAAUUAACCGAAGAUUCUGGUUUAUAGCGGUUAAGGCAAUGUGAAAAGUUAAGAAAACGGUACGUGCAACGAGAAGGUUGUACCUAGAUUAACCCAUGAACAAAUAAAACUGUAAGAUCGGAUUACUAGAAAGUUCGAAACUAGGCACAUUCCAUUAUAUUCCCACAUAAUCAUUCUUUACAUUUUUACCAAAAAAAAAAUGUUUUAACAAUGGAACACGCCAUCACAGCCCUUAACGGCGUCAUCGAAGCUGCCGCCAUCUUGAAGAUCCGAUCGGAAUAUUCUAAGCCGUUCGUUUCCUCUCCACUUGGAUUGAAAAUAUUGAGAUUUUGCUGUCAGAGGAAGAAGCUAUUAGGUUAAAUGUGAUGACUUCAAAGCUAUUUUACAAAUCAGUCCAACUUUGAGUCUAAUUAACCAAUUCAUCCAUAAUUGUUCUAAAACGCUCUGUAAAGUAUCUAAGAUUUGAAGUUUCAAAAAAAUAAAGUAUCUAAGAUUUGAUAUAAUUAAAUUAACAAAUUAACACUUCAAAAAAUUAACAAAUAAUUUCAGAGCCAUGCAAAAACUUAUAUGAUACUAACCGAAUAGUUUCAAGAAAUUGAAAUUAGUUUCUGUUUUUCCGGAAACAAGAGAGUACCAAGAUCUCUGAGAGUGGCGUGAACUGUGUAGCCUCUUUCGAGAAGAGACUUAACCAACCAAGAACCGAUGUAUCCACUUGCACCCGUUACGCAAUACGUCGUCGCUUUUCCUUCCUCUCCGUUCAGCUCCAUUGUCUCUCUCGCUUUCCUCUCCAAAUGCCAAAGUGAGUUUAGAGAGUUAAUUAUUAAUUUUUGGCUUGUAACGAUACCACCACCGUCUUUUGUCUGUGCUAUUUUAAUAUUGCAUGUUUGUUUCUUUCUGGUUUGGUGUUAACUUUUUUGUAUUUUAUAACAAAAUUGUAUUUUCCAAAAUCUGACGUUCGGAAAACUACGAGACAACCCCAUUUUUAAUUUCUUUUUGGCAUUUUAUGACAUUUGGUAAGAUAAGAUUAUUGCAUCACUGGUGUUGUUAUCAUAGUGCAUUUUGAUAUAUAUGAAGAAGAGAAGGUAAAAAAAGAUAGAACAUACAUCACUGGAUAAGAUCGAAGAAGAGUGAAAUAUUAAAAACAGUUAGCUAGCUGUAGAAUAGAAAACAGCGACUUGUGCAGGUUUUUUAAUUUUUGGCCUUCGUGACUUUGUUGCUUCCAUUUAUCUGGACGCCGUAGAUUAUGUAGGCAUAACUGAAUAACACCAGUCAUGGAGCCUCAUUUCCAUCUAACUCUUGUGUCUUUCUUAGCGCUUUUGAAGAACUUCCACAUCAAAUAGGAAGGCUUCCAAGACAUUGUUGGAAUACUAAGAUGGGCUGGGCCACUGAUCCACACUUUACCCAUCAAUGGAAUAAUCAUCUCGCAUACAUCAUAAGCAAAGCAGUAUACAAUUAGUUCGACAAAAAAUCUCUAUGUAACACAUAUAGGCUAUAAUUAUAGUGCAAGAGUGAAAAAGGAGAUUUGAGAGAGAAAGGAAAAGCGAUAAGAAAACCCUAGUAGCCGCCAUCAACUUUGGCUUGGAGGAGGGGUGGAUUCCGGUGAUUCGUUGCCGUGAGAGUCUUCUCCUCCUCCUCUUCUUGUUAUUGUGUUGUAUGUAUCUCUGUUACCCACCUCUGUUUCUCUUCUUCACACGCCGUCGAGAUGCGAGCUACUCUUGAUUUCCAUGGAUUUUCUGGUGGAUUUACAACGGUGAGACAGUUUCUGUCACGUUGCUGGAGUAGCAGCGAGAUGCUGCAAGGAGUCGAGAAGGAGGGGCUUCAUAUGAGAGUAAUUUCGAUCUGGUAAUAUUGUGUCUUGUCAUCGGUUUAGCUUAUAUGUCAAUCGCUAUUUCCUGCGGUUUAGAUCUUCCUUGUUCCGGGGUGGGUUAGUUCUGUGGCUAGGGGCGAAUGGAGGCGUGUGGAGAGUGUCUCCUUCGUGUGGUGGUGUUGAACCGUUGGGUUUCAAAGGUUCAGAUGUGCUCUGAUGCUCCUCUCCAUCUUGGCUCCUCUCCCCUGUUUUGCCUACUUAUCUACUCAACGGAGAGGUUAUAUCCUCUGAAUCCUUUUUUACCUUAUAGAUUGGCUGUUUUAGUCUCUUCUUGGUGUCGGUACGGCAGUGGCGUUAAUGACGAAUCCGUGAGCAGAACAGGUUUAGCAUCCUUGUUGUGAAGAAGUUGGUUGGUGUCACCUCUCCAUUUCCAGUUGUGAAGGAGUCCUUGCUACAGCUUUUAAUAAGAGUUCGUCCCCUUCCUGGUUUGUUCGCUGAUCUCUGGUUUCCUCGGUGGCUUCUUCUUGGAUGAUUGAAGCAGUAAAAAGAGGUUGAGGUUUUGGUUCAAUCAGAUGAAGUUGCGGUUUUGUAGGGGGGUUGGUCCCGGGUGUUUUGGUUCUUAGACCCAUGGUUUGGGGUCGGUGUGUGUGUGGUGCUAUUCGGCGUGGUUCUGGCUUUUUAUCGUGGACAGGAGGUUCAGGUGAUUUCGGUUCUGUUAAGUCAUUUUUGCCACUUAUCAGCUUGGUUGACUGUGGUCUUGUGAAAGACUUCCAGUUAUUUUUGGCCUUGACUUUGCUAUCUAUGGGUUUGUUAAAGGAUUGUAGGAAGGUUUAGUUGUAAGAAUUUGUGUUUGUAUAAGUUAUAUUGUAGUCUGGUCUUUGGUGCCCUCGUAUGGGUUUUAGUGUCCUUUCUAUGGACUUUUGUUUCCGGGGAUAUCAACGUGUUCCGCCGGCUUUUGUAUUCCAUCCAGUGUUUAAUAUAAUCAAUUGACGGAAAAAAAAAACACAUAUAGGCUAUAUAGCUUAUUGGUUUCUGCGGAUGCGCCAGCCUACGUGAUUAAAAAAAAACUACAAAACAUGCAAUCUUUGGAUGCAAAGUGUGAAACCCCGCGUUUCUGCGGAUCAAUAAUUUACAACUCAUUUUCGUUAUCUUCUAGAUGAAUUUAUAUGUAUAGAUAUAAUAAUGUUUGUAUACGUAUCGUUAAUAUAUUGAAAUUCGCAUCUAACUAGCAUUAUACUGUGAUACAAGUAAUUGUUGAUAUAAUUCUUUUUUUUUUAUAAUUAACUAUUCUUGUCGACAUGAUGAAAUGGUGGGUAGUGUCUGGCAGAGGCGAAUUUAGAGAACAUAUUCAAUGGGCGCAUUAUUUGUAACAAAAUUUUACAAUGUAUGAAAAAGAUUUGAACUCGAGAUAUUAUGCUGCAUAGGCUGAGUUUUGCCAUCUGUUCUACCAAAAUUUUAAUGUUUUGUCUAUAAAAUUGUGAAUAUCAAUAUAGUUAUGGGUACACUUGCCAUCACUACUCAUAAGGUGGCUUCGCCCUGUCUGGUGAAUAAAAAAGAGAAAGUUGGGUAUUACAUAGACACAAACCGCUUCACACAUACAAAGAUGGUAUGGUAAGAACAAUAAGGUGAUCUUUGAUUUCUGCGUGAAAUGUUGUUAGCAUCUUUGAUUUCUGCGUGAUAAUUUUUUGGAAACUUUGAUUUCUGCUUGAUAAUAUAUUUUAUUUAUACUAAGUUCGAGUUAUGCUCCUAUAUUUUCUUCCAAUUAAUCAAAACCGUUAGUAAUGGUCAGAUAUGAAACACAUGACUAAGAAUGAUUUACACCAAAAACUAAGAAUAUGAUUUGAACUGCAUAGUUAUUUCCAUAAGAAUAUGACAAAUUUACAAGUAAAAUUACGAGUCGUACUUCAAACUAAUUUUCCAAAGCAUUUCUAAGUACGACAUUGAUGUGAAAUAAGCUGCGAAUAUAAAUAACAGUAGAUGUCUCAGCUAUUAUACAUAAGGCUUUAGAAUGUCUAAUUGUGUUAACCUCUUUGUGACCCAUCUUGUCAACUUUAUUUUAGACACAUGAAUUUUAUCCUAGCCUAAGGCAAUCAAGUUUAUGGCUACUUUUUCCUAAGUUUAUAAGUACUUAGUGGGAGAUAAAGUUAACUAAUCAUGGCUGACAGAAAAUAUCAAAUAUUUUGACUGUAAUGAAAUUAAGGCCCUAGAUGAAAUAUUGCAAAAGGUGAAACCGACACACUCAUUUUCUUGGUUAGUAGCAUGUGUUUUAUAUUUUAUGCCCAUCCAUUCUGUUGGCCGUGUUGUCUUAAAAGUAUUCUUAUUUACUUAUCAUAUGGUCUUAAUUUUAGUUAUUUUAAUAAAACAUUUAUCUAUAUAGUCUAUACAAAGAAAUUCUCAAGUCUGUGGGUCUCUUCUCUUACCAAAUGAAGCCAUGAAAAAAUAAACAUUUAUCACAUUAAUGAAAUAUUUGUAGUAUAUUUUAUAAACAUUGUUAUGAACAUAUAAAAUGAAGCCAUGAACAAAUAAAACUGUAAGAUCGGAUUACUAGAAAGUUCGAAACUAGGCACAUUCCAUUAUAUUCCCACAUAAUCAUUCUUUACAUUUUUACCAAAAAAAAAAUGUUUUAACAAUCAUUUGGCAUUAUCGAUAGUCAAGACGGACUGGUUUAUUUUGUAGAUUUGGAAUAAAAUACUGUCCAAGUCUUUAGUAUAGGAACGAGAGGACCGUACAGUGAUAUGCAACUGUGAACAAUUCAGUAUUUGCUUGACUUGACAGCUCUUUCAUGCCAAAAAACAUAUAUAUAAUUUCGGAAAAUAAUUAAAACAGGGAAAAACAAUGACUAGAUUAAACCCAAAUCUUAAACUACUAUACAUAUUUUUAAAAAUUAUAGAAAAUUAUCCACAUCUACUUUGGUCAAAAACUUCCGGAUAAUCCUAACUAAGCUAUCAUCGUAAUUAUAACUGUAUGAGAAUUAGCUCUCAAAAAAAAUUAUAACAGUAUGAGAAUGCAUUCAUUACUAUAACUCUUUAGGAGAAAAUUAGACUUCAAGAGAAAGAAAUCAAUAAUGGAGUAGUGAAAACAAACGAGAGAAGACAUGAACUUCAAAUUGUCAAUGCUUCUUUCAAUCUCAAGAGCUUUUGUCUUGUUUUAGUGGGCUACUUUAAUAGUUACCACUAAAAAUGUCAAAAGAUAAGGAUAAAACUGAACAUUUCAAUUAACUUUUUGAUCAAAUAAAUAUGGUAUCACCAUAAACAUUUCACUUUCUCCUCCACGAACGAUCUAUUUCAAAAUCAAUAAAUGAUUUCAUGAUAUGACAUCACAUCAAGUAAUAAUUUUAAAUAAAGUUACUUGUUUUCAAAAAGACUAAUUAAAGUUACUUGUUUCCGGAAAAUUUUUGAGACCAGAUUAAUGAAAUCGUAAAAGAAAAAAGACUGUUCACGUAGAUCAUUUUUAGUUUUCUUAGCAAAUUUAGACAAGUAACAAACUGUCAAUGUUGUCGAUGUCCACUGGUAAUAAAUACUAGUAAACUAUAAUGUUUUAUUAUUAUUGUAUGGUUAUAUGAAACAAAUAGAAGUCCAUUUUAUUUACUGGAUGUCCAAAACACUUAAAACAUGUUGAAAACGAAACUAUGUACCUUAGAGCUAUCCAUCCCGUUACAAAGUUCUGUAAAUAAAUCUUAAAAUCAAAAUAACAUAUUCAAAUGGAUUUAUUUUUGUUUAGAUACUCUAUAAAAGUUCAACAAUGAAGAUUUAAGUUAUGUGGAUAAAAAUGUCUAAUCAACCUAUUUUACUUAAAAUAAUGCCCCUCCAUUUUCCUUGUUACAAAGCACAAUUUCUAAUUUUAUUAACUAAUCUAUUAUUUUUUCUUUCAAGAUGUAUUUUUUUUAAUGGUUUGCAACUAAUCUAUUAUUUAAAUUCUUUAUCCUGAAGAAACGAAUAAUUGGUCAUCUAUGUAUAUGAAUCACAAAUAGUUUCUUUGAUAAAAAAUAUAAAUAGUAUGAUUAUCUGCGCAUAUUUUUCUAAGUUAAUAAGAGUAAUGAAAUCAAAGAAAAUGGAUUCUAUAAUCCUUUUUCAAGCUCGUUAUUUGUUUUUUUCUAUAAUCUUAAAGAGCUAAAGUGGUUUAGGAAAAGAAUCGACCAAGAUCAACUAAUAAAAAAAAUUGAGUUGCAAUGGAAUGGCUCCUUCAUUAAGUAAUGAUCUGUCUAUUUAUUUAUUUAUUUAUAAGAACAAUGCUUAAACUAAAGAAAGAUUAAAUGAUUAUUUUAUACACAAAUGCACAAAGAUCUACAAAUUCAUCAAAAGAUGAGAUAAUAUCUUAAAACACACUGCCUCCAUGACUCUUCUGGACUGUCAAAGCAUAACUUCAUGUGGUUUCUAAACCAUUAGUUCCCUAACCAAUCAACUUUCGUUAAUGUACCUUUGUUCAUCCACCGUCCCUUGGAAGUAUAUUUUAUUUUAAGUUAUAAAUUCUUCAUGAGUUUACAAUUACACUCUAUUUAACGUCUUCGUCAGACACGAUCAUCCUUUUGCGAUGCGUAUAUGGUGAAACAAACUAAACGGUUUUAAAUCUAUUAGAGCAUCUGUAUCGCAUAUACGUUUCUUUUUUUUUUUCUUAUUUUUUUUUAUUUUUUUUGAUUAAAAAAAAAUUUAAAAUUAAACCAAUCGCGAAUCGUUACGUGUCAGUGAGACAUGCGAACAAUUCAACAGACGUCUCUUAUUUCGCGAUUUCUAGAGACGUUUUUUCUUUGUUUCUGAUGUAAAAUGUUAUCAUUUUUUUCAAAAAGAACUUCCUCUCUCAUUUUAAUUAAAGACAUAACUUAUGAUCAUUUUAAUUGAAGACAUAAUUGACAUAAGUUUCUUUCCAUUACAUUAGUAUAGCAGAUAGCUUGUACUUUAACAACUUAACAUGACUGUAUCUUGAGAGCUAGUAUUGCAUAUGCUGCUCUACUUGUUUUAAUUUCGUAUAUAUAGACGCAGUAAAUUUGCGGUUGCUUGAAUUUUUUUUUGCUAAAAAGGUUUUAACCCUUUAAAAAAAAAGAUAACAAAAAAAAGAAUGUAGUUGAGGACUUAAACUUCGAGCAUAUCACACUAUAAUAGGCUCAUACUAAGUAAUUAAGUCAUCUUCAAGAUUCAACGAAAUAACAUACACUUUUGUAACAUUAUUCUUUGAAGUAGGGAGGAAGAAAGCUCUUUUUGAUAUUUUAUAAAAGCACUCUUUUAGAUUAAAGUUGAUAGAAAAAUGAGACAGGUAGAAAAAGAAAACCUCGGUGAUAAUAUCGGAAAGUCCAACGUCAAAGGUGUUAAUAUUAGACUGUGGGGAAACAUGUUGGGAUAUUACGUGUAACAGCCAAAAGAAAUUAUAAAAGUAAAGAUCAUUAAUCAUCUAGAUAACCGUACAAAAUGUUGAUAUGCAUAAUAUUAGCCAUUUAAACAAGGAGAGUAUUUAAGUCCAAGAGUUCGAAUCACUCAAGACAUGAACUUUGGUAUGGUGUAACCUUUGAAAUUAGUAAAAUUUCAGUAAAACAUUAAACAUGCAAAAAUAGGAGUUCGAAUCUAGUAUAGAACUGACUGAAUGUUAGGACAAUUUUAACCUAUCUCUGGUAUCUGGAAAUGGCGACUGAUCGUUAAGAUUCGUGGGUCUUUUGCAUUUAAACCAUAUUUAUAUCGCUUUUUGAAAAUGUCGUAAAGCUAAAACACGUUUAAUGUUUUGAAAAUUCAAUUUCCACCGAACACCAUUAUAUUGGGAGGCAAAUGAAAUAAAGUACGAAUUUUCGAGUCUUUGUGAUAGAUAUACACAUACUUUAUAGUCGAGCACGUACCAAAGUAUUUGACUCCUUGAUACAAAGACGAAACUAAGAUUGUUACGCUAAAUAAUAUAUAUGCACACUUGAGUUGGAAAUCAUAUUGGGGUUUAAAUGUCCAACCAGGUUGUGUUCUCUGCUCUGUAGCUGAUGAGUCUAUUAGCCAUUUAUUUUUUGAUUGUCCCUUUGCAGUUGCUACUUGAACUCGUUUUUGUGGCAGGUUUUUGGCGACUCCUCCGACUACACUUGAUGCGGUCGUGGUCCUUUGCCAGCACUUCCCUGGUCCUCAUGCCCAGCGAGCGGUUGCGGUGAUGAAGCUCCUAAAUCAAGUGAUCAUUUACAAUAUCUGGCGCGAGCGUAAUGCCAGGGUUUUUACCAGUGUGUCUUCAACUCAAGAAGCUGUGUUCCGAGUGGUGGAUCGUACUGUGCGAGAUAGACUACUGGUUCUUUCAAGACCCACUGUCUCUGUUCCUCUCCCAUCAUUGCUUGAGUUAUACUUUUGGUUCCUUUCCCCAUAUAGUUAAUGCUACUCUCAUUUUAUUGCUCUCUUAAUACUCUUUUCCUUGCAUUUUUUCCUUCUUUAUAAUAAGUUGUGUUUACACAACAUUGUAAACUUUUAAAAAUAGUAUAAAUCUUAAUAUUUAGACCAAAAAAAAUAUAUAUAUAUAUAUGCACACGUCUGCGUACGAGUUAAUUUGUUAGGUACCGAUUCUAAACCCUAUCCGAUUAUCAGCCAUUGGAUUUUUUUUUUCUUUUUCUUUUCCAUUUCAUGUACCACUAAAAUGAUAAUUUUUACGAUGGUUAUUAUUUUGCUUUUAAGCCGUUUUCCGUUAUUAAUACACAAGUGCUAACAAAGCAUGGUAUUGUGGGGAUUUUUUAAAAUUAGAUAUCUUAUAGCUUUAUCUAUUAAGAGACGAUAUUUUCUUUAUCACGAAUCAUCAGUUAUAUACCAUAAAGAUUUUAUUUGUAAUGUUGAGAAAUUAUUUUCCUUUUGCAGCUAUCUAGGAUGGGUGCCGAAGGCAGGGCGAGUGGACACUAAUAUCUUACGUAGACGUACGUUAUUCUUUGUAUACACUCAAGUAAUACGAUCGAUUGACUUCUUCUCUAGAAUAUAAUAGAACAUUCGGAAGCAAAAGAUUUACAAAAGCCGUUUCCGACGAAAAUCAAUAUAGUAAAAAAUGUUUGCUACUUUUUUUUUUUUUUGCCAUCUAUAUAUUAUUAAAUGGGCCAAGCCCAAAUACCAUACAGGAAAGCCCAAUCCCGAAAGACAAAAACAACGGGCCAAACAAAACAAAAUCACAACGGCCUGAGGCCCAAAACUAAGUCGGGCAAGCCGACAAAUACACGUCUACAACAACUAAUUGACCACGUGUCGAGACCCGCUCCACCGAGAGACACACGUCACCCGAGCAGUAAACCGCAAAUGACACCGAGAAGACGCCGCCGGAGAAGACGAAACCACCAGUAGUUUCGCCGGAACACGACGGAGGCCGACCAUCUCACCCAUCUUUUUCACCUGGACUCUUUCGAACGGAGAGCAACAUCGAGACUAUCCCGAGAACUCCUCCAGAGCCAACGAACCCAACUCUUCUUCCCUCACCACUUAAGACCCUUCAACGGUGAGUUUUUAAACCCGUAACCGAUCCACGCUUUAAAACAACAAUCAUCUACGAUCGAUCCAAGAAACAACCAAACAUGGAGUCUCAGAUCGAGAGUUGAUUGAGCGAAGAGAGAGCAAAAGCGAAGAUCCACAGACCGAAAAGCCGGAGAAGACGGUGCUUUUAGAGCCACCGAUUCCCGGAAUCUAAAGCCGACGAAACCGAUGCUAUCGAAGCCAUCGGUUCUCGGAAACUGAGCUGGCGACGUCGGUGUAUAGAAUCACCGGCUCCCAGAAUCGAUUUUGAUAAACUGGAACCGGAACCACAAGAAGCUCCGACCGAGAUCUCAUCUCCUCCUUCCUCUGUGUCGGAUCGUAGAGAGAGAACAUAGCUGAAGGAGAGAGAGAAGCGCGUUCACUGUUUGCUUAUUCGGACAAGCUUAUAAAAAAUGUUUGCUACUUACAUCUAACUGCAACAUUUAGAAUUUUUUUAAACCCCAAAAUAGAAUCUGAACACUAAACAAAAUUAAUUGCAUUUAAUUUAAUAAUGAUCUAUAUUAUCGUUGGUGUAGUUUAUUGUAAAGUUUCACGUUGGUUGUGUUUUAUCCAAAGAAAGAAACUGAAAUCUCCAAAAGAAAGACGUUCACACCCAACAAAAUUUUGAAAUAAAACUCAUUCGAUUUACAUGGAUAAUAAUGAGCAAAACAAUUUGAUCCCGCAAAAUAAAAUAAAAAUAUAUCGGUUCAAAAAAAACAACGUGAAGGCACCAAACUCGUACAACAGCAAUAGUUCCGUACACGUGUCAACCUAUCAAGUAUGUUAUCCAGCUGUCUGGUCCCCCUCUCGAAUGCUUCUCGCCGUGAUAACGUUCCGUCUCAAAACGUCGCCGUUUUGAGAGAUGGGUUUAAUAUUUGUUAGCUUAGGGUAUUAAAAAGGGUUAAAGUUGGUUUGCUGGCGAUUCGUGGGACAUCACGUACGACAUUACUGCGGAUUAACCGGAUAUUGCUGGUUUGAGAGAGCUGGUCAACCGAGUAAAACCCCCGUUAUAAAUCCGUGCCCCCAUCUCUCAUGCCUUGUUGUUAUGGAUGUAUACUUAUUUUAAUGUCAUGUAUACUUUUUUAUAUUCUAAUGUCUAGUCUGAUUGAGAUAGCUAGUUAAUGGAUUCAAUUACAUGUUUUGUACAUGAUUUCUGGGUGAUUUGAGGAUGUUUGUAUACUGGAUGACUGAUUUGAGUAUUUUAGUUGCGAAAAUAAAAUAUACUAGACUCAGUAUUGCAUCGAACCAUUUAAUUAUUAGUUAGUCACAUUAUUAUUGUAAUAUAAGUUCGUUAAUCCGCAUAAUCUUGCAUACCAAAUAUACAAUGCAAUUAUUGAUGGAUAUAAAAUCAAUAACGGCUGUAAAAGUAAACGGUGAUAUUUUUCCUUUGCUUUUACGAAAGUAAUACAUCUCCUUUUGCCAUAGAACCAUUAUUUUGUAAAGUGAUUUUCCUUUAUAGAACCAUUAUUUUGUUUGUAAAGUGAUUUUCUUAACGACAAUGCAAACAACGUACGUACCAAUGGUCUAUUACAAAAUUCUUACAAGUAUAUGCCAAUAUGUCAAAAUCUAUAUCUUUUCUUAACAUAAAGUCUAAAUCUUCACAACAGUUACAGUCGUACAUGUAAUUAUAAUUCUUCAUAAAAGUGUUUAUAUUACAUUUGUUUUUUCCAAAAAUAAAUAUCCAAAGUGCAAGUAAGUAUAUGAAUUGCAAGAGUACUAUAAAAGUUCUAAUUAUAUAGCGAUAGAUGUCCCAUGACAUGUUACAUCAAAUGACGAUUAUACCCUUCAUCUUCCUCAACGUCCAUUGCCUGCCUAGUUUCACCUUCCUUUCAUUCUCCUCCUCUAUAUAUAUCAACACUUCUCUUUCCUUCUUCCUCACACACUAAAAGCUCCUAACAAACAUAAGCUUAUCUCCUUCUCACCCAUCUCAAAAUUGUGCCAGCUUCUCUCUGAAACCAAACCAUGCCUGAGGCACCAAAGUAUGAAUCUUUAGAUGCUUUCGAUCUGACCCUCGACGAGAAGAACAAGAGGAAACUUCAGUUAAUCGAGGAACUGACCUCAAACGCCGACCAAGUCCAGAAACGUGUCUUGGAGGAGAUCUUGAUCCGUAAUGCUGACGUGGAGUAUCUCAGGCGUCAUGACCUCAACGGUCGCACAGACCGAGAGACGUUCAAGAACGUGAUGCCUGUUAUAACCUAUGAGGAUAUCCAGCCUGAGAUCAACAGGAUUGCUAACGGUGAUAAAUCUCCUAUCCUCUCUUCAAAGCCUAUCUCCGAGUUCCUCACCAGGUUCGUUAUUAACAUCCUCUCUUCUUCUUCUUCUUCUUCUUCUUCUUCUUCUUCAAAAUGCUCUGUUUUGCUCUGUUUUUGCUCUGUUUUGCUCUGUUUUACUCUGUUUUUCAAGAACCUAACGAAGCUUUCUAUAUGUUCUUUGACAGCUCUGGGACAUCUGGUGGGCAGAGGAAGCUAAUGCCGACAAUCGAAGAAGAACUAGACCGGAGAUCACUUCUCUACAGUUUCUUGAUGCCUGUGAUGAGCCAGUUCGUUCCUGGUCUCGACAAAGGCAAAGGAAUGUAUUUCUUGUUCAUCAAGUCUGAAUCCAAGACGCCAGGAGGCCUCCCUGCUCGUCCCGUCUUAACCAGUUACUACAAAUCUUCCCAUUUCAAAGAAAGACCCUUUGACCCUUACACCGACUACACAAGCCCCAACGAGACCAUCCUUUGCCCUGACUCUUACCAGAGCAUGUACUCUCAGAUGCUUUGUGGCUUAUGCCAACACCAGGAGGUUCUUCGUGUCGGUGCCGUUUUCGCCUCUGGUUUCAUCAGAGCUAUCAAGUUUCUUGAGAAGCACUGGAUCGAGCUGGUCCGUGACUUCAGAACCGGUACCUUAAGCUCCCUGAUCACUGAUCCUUCAGUGCGUGAGGCGGUCGCCAAGAUCCUUAAACCUAGUCCAAAACUCGCGGAUUUCGUGGAGUUCGAGUGUAAGAAGAAGUCUUGGCAAGGGAUCAUCACUAGGUUGUGGCCUAACACGAAGUAUGUGGAUGUGAUUGUGACAGGGACGAUGUCUCAGUACAUUCCAACUUUGGAUUACUACAGCAAUGGCUUGCCUCUUGUCUGCACAAUGUAUGCUUCUUCCGAAUGUUACUUUGGUGUGAACCUAAGGCCACUAUGCAAACCUAGCGAGGUCUCUUACACGCUCAUACCAACCAUGGCUUAUUUCGAGUUCUUGCCUGUUCAUAGAAACACAGGUGUUACUAACUCCAUCAAUCUACCUAAAGCACUCACGGAGAAAGAGCAACAAGAGCUUGUUGAUCUUGUUGAUGUUAAACUUGGUCAGGAGUACGAGCUUGUUGUCACCACUUAUGCCGGUAAGAAAAUAAAACAUAUUCUAUAAUAGCACAUAAUUAUUUUCAAAAAUAGUAUAAAAAUUAUAUUUAGAUUUUUGGGUUUAGUGAUUAUGGUUUACUAGUAUCGACUAGGUGGAGGUUAGGGUAAAAUUUAGAAUUCAGAGUAAUUUAGCUUUUCUUUUUUUGGCUAUUUUAGUGAUUUUUCUAUUGUAUGCUAUUUUUGACAUGGUAUAAAUUAUGAUAAGAGAUUUGCCCUAAGAAAAUAGAGAAUUUCUAUUAAUUUAUAACAAAAAAAAAAUACACUUUAAGGGUUUAGUCUUAUGUUUGUGUGCUUUGUGAUUUUGAUGCAGGGCUUUGUAGAUACAGAGUUGGUGAUUUGUUGAGAGUGACUGGAUUCAAGAACAAGGCACCUCAAUUUAGUUUCAUAUGCCGCAAGAAUGUGGUCUUAAGCAUAGAUUCCGACAAGACCGAUGAAGUUGAGCUUCAGAACGCGGUAAAGAACGCAAUGACACAUCUUGUCCCAUUUGAUGCCUCACUCUCUGAGUAUACUAGCUAUGCGGAUACAAGUUCUAUCCCUGGCCAUUACGUCCUGUUCUGGGAGCUAUGUUUGGAUGGAAACACACCGAUCCCUCCUUCUGUCUUUGAGGAUUGCUGCCUAGCCGUGGAAGAGUCGUUCAACUCUGUUUAUAGACAAGGAAGGGUUAGUGACAAGUCCAUAGGCCCACUCGAGAUCAAGAUUGUUGAGCCGGGGUUGCCUAGUUUCACCUUCCUUUCAUUCUCCUCCUCUAUAUAUAUCAACACUUCUCUUUCCUUCUUCCUCACACACUAAAAGCUCCUAACAAACAUAAGCUUAUCUCCUUCUCACCCAUCUCAAAAUUGUGCCAGCUUCUCUCUGAAACCAAACCAUGCCUGAGGCACCAAAGUAUGAAUCUUUAGAUGCUUUCGAUCUGACCCUCGACGAGAAGAACAAGAGGAAACUUCAGUUAAUCGAGGAACUGACCUCAAACGCCGACCAAGUCCAGAAACGUGUCUUGGAGGAGAUCUUGACCCGUAAUGCUGACGUGGAGUAUCUCAGGCGUCAUGACCUCAACGGUCGCACAGACCGAGAGACGUUCAAGAACGUGAUGCCUGUUAUAACCUAUGAGGAUAUCCAGCCUGAGAUCAACAGGAUUGCUAACGGUGAUAAAUCUCCUAUCCUCUCUUCAAAGCCUAUCUCCGAGUUCCUCACCAGGUUCGUUAUUAACAUCCUCUCUUCUUCUUCUUCUUCUUCUUCUUCUUCUUCUUCAAAAUGCUCUGUUUUGCUCUGUUUUUGCUCUGUUUUGCUCUGUUUUACUCUGUUUUUCAAGAACCUAACGAAGCUUUCUAUAUGUUCUUUGACAGCUCUGGGACAUCUGGUGGGCAGAGGAAGCUAAUGCCGACAAUCGAAGAAGAACUAGACCGGAGAUCACUUCUCUACAGUUUCUUGAUGCCUGUGAUGAGCCAGUUCGUUCCUGGUCUCGACAAAGGCAAAGGAAUGUAUUUCUUGUUCAUCAAGUCUGAAUCCAAGACGCCAGGAGGCCUCCCUGCUCGUCCCGUCUUAACCAGUUACUACAAAUCUUCCCAUUUCAAAGAAAGACCCUUUGACCCUUACACCGACUACACAAGCCCCAACGAGACCAUCCUUUGCCCUGACUCUUACCAGAGCAUGUACUCUCAGAUGCUUUGUGGCUUAUGCCAACACCAGGAGGUUCUUCGAGUCGGUGCCGUUUUCGCCUCUGGUUUCAUCAGAGCUAUCAAGUUUCUUGAGAAGCACUGGAUCGAGCUGGUCCGUGACAUCAGAACCGGUACCUUAAGCUCCCUGAUCACUGAUCCUUCAGUGCGUGAGGCGGUCGCCAAGAUCCUUAAACCUAGUCCAAAACUCGCGGAUUUCGUGGAGUUCGAGUGUAAGAAGAAGUCUUGGCAAGGGAUCAUCACUAGGUUGUGGCCUAACACGAAGUAUGUGGAUGUGAUUGUGACAGGGACGAUGUCUCAGUACAUUCCAACUUUGGAUUACUACAGCAAUGGCUUGCCUCUUGUCUGCACAAUGUAUGCUUCUUCCGAAUGUUACUUUGGUGUGAACCUAAGGCCACUAUGCAAACCUAGCGAGGUCUCUUACACGCUCAUACCAACCAUGGCUUAUUUCGAGUUCUUGCCUGUUCAUAGAAACACAGGUGUUACUAACUCCAUCAAUCUACCUAAAGCACUCACGGAGAAAGAGCAACAAGAGCUUGUUGAUCUUGUUGAUGUUAAACUUGGUCAGGAGUACGAGCUUGUUGUCACCACUUAUGCCGGUAAGAAAAUAAAACAUAUUCUAUAAUAGCACAUAAUUAUUUUCAAAAAUAGUAUAAAAAUUAUAUUUAGAUUUUUGGGUUUAGUGAUUAUGGUUUACUAGUAUCGACUAGGUGGAGGUUAGGGUAAAAUUUAGAAUUCAGAGUAAUUUAGCUUUUCUUUUUUUGGCUAUUUUAGUGAUUUUUCUAUUGUAUGCUAUUUUUGACAUGGUAUAAAUUAUGAUAAGAGAUUUGCCCUAAGAAAAUAGAGAAUUUCUAUUAAUUUAUAACAAAAAAAAAAUACACUUUAAGGGUUUAGUCUUAUGUUUGUGUGCUUUGUGAUUUUGAUGCAGGGCUUUGUAGAUACAGAGUUGGUGAUUUGUUGAGAGUGACUGGAUUCAAGAACAAGGCACCUCAAUUUAGUUUCAUAUGCCGCAAGAAUGUGGUCUUAAGCAUAGAUUCCGACAAGACCGAUGAAGUUGAGCUUCAGAACGCGGUAAAGAACGCAAUGACACAUCUUGUCCCAUUUGAUGCCUCACUCUCUGAGUAUACUAGCUAUGCGGAUACAAGUUCUAUCCCUGGCCAUUACGUCCUGUUCUGGGAGCUAUGUUUGGAUGGAAACACACCGAUCCCUCCUUCUGUCUUUGAGGAUUGCUGCCUAGCCGUGGAAGAGUCGUUCAACUCUGUUUAUAGACAAGGAAGGGUUAGUGACAAGUCCAUAGGCCCACUCGAGAUCAAGAUUGUUGAGCCGGGGACGUUUGAUAAGCUCAUGGAUUAUGCGAUCAGCUUGGGAGCAUCUAUUAAUCAGUAUAAGACGCCUAGAUGCGUGAAGUUUGCUCCAAUUAUUGAGCUGUUGAACUCAAGAGUUGUUGAUAGUUACUUCAGCCCCAAGUGUCCUAAAUGGGUCCCUGGUCAUAAACAGUGGGGAAGUAACUAAGUUGGAAUCAGGAAACGUGAAGAGAUAGUCUUUGAAGUAGAAGGUUUGGGACUUGCAAAGGAUAUCUCAUGUCUCUCUAAUCUUGAUCUUAGUUUAGUUUUUGGUUUUUUUGUUGGUAUUUUUUAUGCAUAGUCCCUUUGGUUUUGAAAACCAGUUGUACAAAAGCAAAUCAUGUUUCUCCAAGCAGCUCUCUGUCCUCUCUCCAUCACUUUCUUGAGCCUCUAAACUUUAUAUUUGAGUGAUUAAUUGGCUGGAUCCUUUACCGUUAACAACGGUAAAUAGCAAUGUGCUAAGUUAAUUUUGUUAAAAGAAGAAAAUCAAUCUCUGAUAACAACACUAUGACCACUGUUUGUGUUGGGUUUCUGUUAAAACAAAAGCAAAAUCAUGGAUGAAUUGAAAAAAAAAAUAGUUUGAGCACAAAGGAAAACUUCAAACUUUUCCUUGUAGAUAACUGAUGAUUGUUUAUUAAAUAUAGUUUGUUGUCACUAACCUAAUGAAACUACUUUUUAAUCUUGAGACAUAAUAUAGUCUUUUAUACAUAUGAGAGAUGAUACUACUUAAAAUCGUAAAAUAUGCCAUAAUUGAUAUUGUAUAACUUAGCUCUUUGAGCAUGAUCAGAAGGAACGUACGUAGACGCAUCCACAACUAAAUAACUUCCCAUAAUUUUCAUAUAUUUAUCAUCUUGAAAGCAGCAAUAAAUAUUAAAGAGAAGAUAGAUACAUUCAAGUCUAGAUACAAGUGUUCCCUAUGUAAGGAUCAAAGACAACAACACUGGCCUGGAAUUAAUGCUACGUUGGCAGGUCCUUUUUAGUGACAUAUAAACAACCCGUCAAUUCACAUAUGUUAUUUUUAUAAUUAAAAACUUUAAGUUGCAAAAGAUUUACAAAAGCCCUUCAUAGAGUCAACUACACGACCUUCAAACUGGAGUUGUUGCACGAAGACCCAACCAUCCCGAAGCUUUUUACCUUUUAUCUGAUAUUUGUUCACACACGUUCUGGUUGAACAAGUGCGAUGAUUGUAUGCUUACAUCUCCUUCGGUUACAAAUUAUUAGACUCGACACAGUAAUGUUGAGAUCCGAAGUUUGGACCCAAUUAAAUCAUCAUCCCUGUCAUCAAAUUUUAUCCUAAGAACCUCUUUGGAGGCAAAGCUAGAACUUGAGAUUCACCUAAUCUCUUUGGUAAGCCUUGUUAACAAGGUUAAAGCUGGUUGUGCUUGUUUCAGAUUCAUAUCAAGUCAGAUAGGACUUUGUACUCUCAAUGUUGCCUACGGUUCUGGAGCUCCUCACCUAAAGUUCUUGCCAGUCAAUAUUCCAACAUUUUCUUAUAGGUGUAUCAAUGUCGUUUUCGACUAUCAAUUGUUCUUUCGAACAAUCGUCAUGGGAACAAAAGUGGAGCUUUUCUUUGGGUUUCUUUAUUUCGCUGAGCUUGACUCGUUUUUAGAUGGUUCUAUUUUUAGUUGUUUUGUAAUGUUUUCUAGCUUCAUUCUACCGUCGAAAAUGUCUCCAGAAUUUUCUCGCUCAGUUGUAAGCUUUCAUGCUUUUUGAACUUUUUAAUACAAGUUUGGUGUUACAAAAAAGAAACUUUAAGUUGCAUACCAUUCUCUUUCUCUGUAAGCAUCCCUCAAAACUUUGUGUGCAUUUGUAUCCGAAACAAUAUUUUAUUAUUCGAUGCAAGUCGGUAUCUGUGGCCUGUGGCCUGUGGGAUCUGACUUCCUGUGUCGAGAGAAACAUUCUUUAAUCUACGUAAUGUGUAUUUGUUCCUUCUCCUUGUCGACUCGUGGAUGGGGAAAGAAAACUUGUUGGUUUUAAUAAUGGAUCAAAGUACAUAUUAUUAUACAUUUAUGUCAUGCUAGUGACUCCUCCAACAGUUAACACACCCUUUACAAUAAAAAGAAAACGAAUGACUUUUUACAGAUAGCGACCCAAAAUUCAAUUAUAUUGAAGUACAAGUGCAGUGUAUUAUGUCUUAUCAUAUUUAAGAUACUUAUCUAUGUAGAGACAAUAUUUACCGUUAAAUGUUUGCAAUAAUGAAAACCUGUACUUGAGUACUACUGAGCCACUGACUUUAAAGAUAAGGCUGUCUUGUCUCAUGCCCAGUCCAUUCUUCAGUGUGAUUGAUAAUUAGAAACAUAUAAAUCCUUGGAGACUAACUGUAGCUUUGUUGAUACUUUCCUUUUACUUUUACUAGUUUGAAAAGAUUCUGAAUUUACAUUUUAUCAUUUUUAAAGGUAAAUUAUGAACAUGAGAGGUAAGGAUUUUUCAAAAUCGCUUUAAUGAAUAUAAUCUUCCAAAUUUUCAUCAAGAUCUCUAUCCAUACAUCGUAUACUAAAAAUCUGAUUAUAUAACAAAUUACACUCGAGGAUGUUGUUAAAAGGACUUUUUACCGAACUUGUUAACUCUUGAUCAUAAUAAAAAUGUAUACUGUAGAAUCACAAGUUAAUAAGAAGUCCUUCUCUUAUUCAAUCAAAUCAAACUCACAAGAUCACAAGUCACAAAAGCUCAUAUGUUAUGUCACAAGCUUGACAUCUCCAUAUAUAUAAAAUAUAAAGUCCUAAACACACUCAAUAUAGGAUAACAAGAUAACUCCUAAUCAUCAUGGACUUUCCUAUUUUAUAUGUAGCUUUAUCUUCAAGCUAUUCCAAGCUUAUCCCAACAUUCUCCCCUUUAAGCUUUGAAUCAUUUUCUCCAACAUUUUGAACUCCAAUCAAACUUCUCAUCUCACCAAACUUAAGUCUUCCAAGAGACUUAGUUAAUAUAUCCGCUCGCUGUUCAUUCCCUGGCACAUGUUCAACUUCUAUCUGAUCAUUCUCAACACAUUCACGUAUGAAGUGGAACCUUCUAUGUAUAUGUUUUGAGCGGCCAUGAAAGACUGGAUUCUUAGUCAAUGCGAUCGCUGAUUUAUUGUCAACUCGGAUAGUUAUUUGAACAAUGCUUCGACCAACAACUUCACUUAGCAACUCUUGAAGCCACACGGCUUGUUUGGCUGCUUCUGUAGCGGCCAUAAACUCUGCUUCACAUGAUGAAAGUGCAACGAUCUCCUGCUUCUGUGAACACCAAGUUAUCGGACUGUCAUCUAGGUAAAAUACGUGACCAUGCGUACUUCUACCAUCAUCUUCGUCGACAUUAUGUGAGCUGUCGCUAUAGCCUGUUAUCUCACGCUUUAAUGAUCGAGAAUACACAAGACCGAGGGAGCAUGUUCCUUGUAAGUACCUAAGUACUUGCUUUAAAGCUGCUCCGUGUGAUUCCUUUGGUUCCUGCAUGUAUCUACUGAGAAUCCCAACACUAUAUGAAAGAUCCGGACGAGUGUGCAACAAGUAACGAAGACAACCUAUAGCUCUUCUGUAAUCGCGCUCGUUGAUGCCUUUUUCAUGUGUUGCCUUUGAAAGUUUUACAUUGACAUCCAUGGGAACAGACGUUGAGUUGCAAGAACUCAUUCCAGCUUCAUCGAGAAUCUUAGCAGCAUAUCUAUCUUGCCUCAACGAGAUUCCUGUCUUAUGCUGAUGAACUUCAAUGCCCAAGUAAUAGGUUAGCUUCCCUAGAUCGCUCAUCUCAAAUCUUUUUGACAUAUCCCUUUUAAACUCAAUAAUGUCUUGAUAUGACGAUCCCGUAACAAGUAAAUCAUCGACGUACACAACCACGAUCAGAACAUGCUGCUUCUUGUCCUUUCGAUAGAGAGAUGGUUCUUUAGAACAUCUUCUAAAACUAAGCUCUUGAAGUAUUCUAUUAAGCUUUACGUUCCAAGCACGAGGUGCUUGUCUUAAACCAUACAACGCCUUCUUGAGUUUAUAUACCUUUCUUUCCUUUCCCGUGAUCACAAAUCCUUCAGGCUGCGUGACGUAUACGUCUUCUUUUAACUCACCAUGGAGGAAUGCAGUUUUUACGUCGAGGUGAUGUAUCUCCCAACCAUUUGAGGCUGCUAUUGCUAUAACAAGUCGAAUGGUCUCAAUCCGAGCAACCGGCGCAAACACUUCGUCAUAAUCAACUCCGUGUCUUUGUACAUAGCCUUUUGCGACCAACCUCGCUU
rnacentral:lncRNA from 1 species